UUAUUUAGGAUCGUGAGACAUUGCGUCAGAUUGGUAGGCGAGAGCUUCAAGGUGAGCUUCAAGAGACAAAGAAAGCUGUAGCUAGGAGAACAGCACCUGAGAUCAUCAACAGUAUAAGUGGUAUGAAUUUAGAAACAGCUGCUGUUAUAUCGGAACUGAUUGUUGAUAGGACACUGGACGAACUAGAGGGAUGCGCUGGAAGACUGCACAGUAUGAGUGAAAGGAUUGCUGGAUCUCCCAGUAAAACAGUGUCCAA